GUGGGGAAUUUUGGACAAUGGGGGCAACCCUGAUCCAGCCAUCCCGCGUGUGCGAUGAAGGCCUUCGGGUUGUAAAGCACUUUUGGCAGGGAAGAAAAGUUUCGGGCUAAUACCCUGGAGCGAUGACGGUACCUGCAGAAUAAGCACCGGCUAACUACGUGCCAGCAGCCGCGGUAAUACGUAGGGUGCAAGCGUUAAUCGGAAUUACUGGGCGUAAAGCGUGCGCAGGCGGUUCGGAAAGAAAGAUGUGAAAUCCCAGGGCUUAACCUUGGAACUGCAUGUUUAACUGUCGAACUCGAGUAUGUCAGAGGGGGGUAGAAUUCCACGUGUAGCAGUGAAAUGCGUAGAGAUGUGGAGGAAUACCGAUGGCGAAGGCAGCCCCCUGGGAUAAUACUGACGCUCAUGCACGAAAGCGUGGGGAGCAAACAGGAUUAGAAACCCGUGUAGUCC
rnacentral:rRNA from 1 species